rnacentral:SRP_RNA from 1 species
GCUGGGCGUGGUGGCAUGUACCUGUAGUCCCAGCUACUCGGGAGGCUGAGAUGGGAGGAUCGCUUGAGCCCAUCGGGUGUCCGCACUAAGUUCGGCAUCAAUAUGGUGACCUCCCGGGAGCGGGGAGCCACCAGGUUGCCUAAGGAGGGGUGAACUGGCCCAGGUUGGAAAUGGAGCAGGUCAAAACUCCUGUGCUGAUCAGUAGUGGGACCGCACCUGUGAAUAGGCACUGCACGCCAGCCUGGACAACAUAGUGAGACCCUGUCUCU